rnacentral:rRNA from 1 species
GACGAACGCUGGCGGCGUGCUUAACACAUGCAAGUCGAACGGAAAGGCCCUGCUUUUGUGGGGUGCUCGAGUGGCGAACGGGUGAGUAACACGUGAGUAACCUGCCCUUGACUUUGGGAUAACUUCAGGAAACUGUGGCUAAUACCGGAUAGGAGCUCCUGCUGCAUGGUGGGGGUUGGAAAGUUUCGGCGGUUGGGGAUGGACUCGCGGCUUAUCAGCUUGUUGGUGGGGUAGUGGCUUACCAAGGCUUUGACGGGUAGCCGGCCUGAGAGGGUGACCGGCCACAUUGGGACUGAGAUACGGCCCAGACUCCUACGGGAGGCAGCAGUGGGGAAUAUUGCACAAUGGGCGGAAGCCUGAUGCAGCAACGCCGCGUGCGGGAUGACGGCCUUCGGGGUGUAAACCGCUUUCGCCUGUGACGAAGCGUGAGUGACGGUAAUGGGUAAAGAAGCACCGGCUAACUACGUG